UGUCCUACGGGAGACAGCAGUAGGGAAUCUUCCACAAUGGGCGAAAGCCUGAUGGAGCAACGCCGCGUGGGUGAAGAAGGUCUUCGGAUCGUAAAACCCUGUUGUUAGAGAAGAAAGUGCGUGAGAGUAACUGUUCACGUUUCGACGGUAUCUAACCAGAAAACCACGGCUAACUACGUGCCAGCAGCCGCGGUAAUACGUAGGUGGCAAGCGUUAUCCGGAUUUAUUGGGCGUAAAGGGAAACGCAGGCGGUCUUUU
rnacentral:rRNA from 1 species